GAUGAACGCUGGCGGCGUGCCUAAUACAUGCAAGUCGAGCGAACGGACGAGAAGCUUGCUUCUCUGAUGUUAGCGGCGGACGGGUGAGUAACACGUGGAUAACCUACCUAUAAGACUGGGAUAACUUCGGGAAACCGUAGCUAAUACCGGAUAAUAUUUUGAACCGCAUGGUUCAAAAGUGAAAGACGGUCUUGCUGUCACUUAUAGAUGGAUCCGCGCUGCAUUAGCUAGUUGGUAAGGUAACGGCUUACCAAGGCAACGAUGCAUAGCCGACCUGAGAGGGUGGUCGGCCACACUGGAGCUGAGACACGGUCCAGACUCCUACGAGAGGCAGCAGUAGGGAAUCUUCCGCAAUGGGCGAAAGCCUGACGGAGCAACGCCGCGUGAGUGAUGAAGGUCUUCGGAUCGUAAAACUCUGUUAUUAGGGAAGAACAUAUGUGUAAGUAACUGUGCACAUCUUGACGGUACCUAAUCAGAAAGCCACGGCUAACUACGUG
rnacentral:rRNA from 1 species